UAAGGAAUAUUGGUCAAUGGACGAAAGUCUGAACCAGCCAUGCCGCGUGGAGGAUGACGGUCCUCUGGAUUGUAAACUUCUUUUAUCUGGGACGAAAAAGGGCCUUUCUAGGUCAACUGACGGUACCAGAUGAAUAAGCACCGGCUAACUCCGUGCCAGCAGCCGCGGUAAUACGGAGGGUGCAAGCGUUAUCCGGAUUCACUGGGUUUAAAGGGUGCGUAGGCGGACAGGUAAGUCAGUGGUGAAAUCUUCCCGCUUAACGGGAAAACUGCCAUUGAUACUCUCUGUCUUGAAUAUUGUGGAGGUGAGCGGAAUAUGUCAUGUAGCGGUGAAAUGCUUAGAUAUGACAUAGAACACCAAUUGCGAAGGCAGCUCACUACACAUAUAUUGACGCUGAGGCACGAAAGCGUGGGGAUCAAACA
rnacentral:rRNA from 1 species